CAGGAACGUUACUGAUGUAAAUGCGUUAUGAAUGCCCAUCGACCCAGCCAUUGAGAAAGAUCACCAACUGCAAGAGCGGACACCAGAGAGCCUAUUGUCUUCAUCAAGAGACAUCAAGUGCUGGCAGGACAAAUCUCGAGGAGCCACACGAGAGCAAAGCUGUAGGAGAUAAAGAUUUUGAAUAUGUCCUCGCUACAUCUGAUAGAUAUUACCUGUGAGGGGCAGAGCAUCUCCUGGAGGUUCAACGCACACGGUUUUGCCGUGGAGUGUCUGUUCAGGGCCAAGUUGAGUGUGACCACAAGACUGAUGGGUCCUGUGAUGUGUGCUACCUUUGUUUC